rnacentral:lncRNA from 1 species
GAGGAGGACAGGACAGGCCCAAGCAAAAAUCAGAGGCUGGAUGUCCACUUUGUGCUAAAGAAUGAGAUUUAAAGUCAAGGAGAACUGCAGUAAUUGUAUUCAAAGGGCAAAGAAAACAGCAGCAUGUUCACCAUGGAAAUAAGCCACCUGAAAAACCAAAUGGAUCCCUGGUGUAAUUUUAUGAGCUUCCGCAAAAUUAGUGCAGGAUCAACAGCAGGCAUUGAAUUGAAAGUUUUCAGGCUCAAAGGGUAUCUGGGAUUGGCAUCCAUUUGUUCUUCUUUUGGACAAGAUAUACAUGUUCUUGGGAGUGCGGAGUCCAGUUGUCUGCAUAUCUGGGGGCAGGACCAGUAAUAAGGCAAAGAGCCUGAACUCUUCCUUCCCUCUGAGUGAUGACUGGGAUGCCCAGGUGCUAUGUUCCUAGACAUUGUCACAAUGAAUAGUCUGUGGUAGUUCAUCACUCUUUCUAUUGAAAUCAGUAUAUUAGUAAAGAAAAACUAUCACUGAGAUCUGCAAUACCAGCAGAAGCUGCACUGCCUUCCAAUUUCUGUAACACCGUAUGGUGAUAUGUAAUAAAGACUUGAAAGAGUGCCCAUAAAAGACACUUUUUCCCUAAUUUGGUUAGAAAAUCAUGGAAUUCUUGCAAGCAUCAGACUUUAUUUGGAUUCUCUUGUAAUAUAAAUGUUUUGUUGUUGUUGCUUUUUAUUCUUGUUCCCCCCCCACACACACACUUUAUCAAAUGUCUGUUGACCUUUUAAGAAUUGCUUCCACUUCUAUUCCAAGUUACCCCCCUGACCAAUAGCCCAAACCAGGCAGACCCUAUGAUGGCCAGGUCCUCAGUGUGUCGAGCAGCAGUGGGUUACACCAGCAUGGCUAACAUGAGAGGUCCAGUCCUUGAUUCCUCUCGGGUUCUUAUCUCAAUUCCCAGGUCAGCAGUGUGUGGGCAUGGGCAAAGCAUUCAAACCCAAGGGGCAGCACAACAUGGAAGGGGGGAGGAAAUUGCUGCUGCUUAUAUUUGCAGAAUAAGGGAGAUGAAGAUGUCCUCCUGUGAGGCUGCACGGGGAACAAUGCUGGGAGACAGGUACGGGAAUGGCAAUGAUGUCUCUGCUCUGCUCUGGGAACAUACAAAACAAAGGAAGCCUGGGAUGACUGAACAAGUACAACAGCUCCCUUACUGA